AGUGAACGCUGGCGGUAGGCCUAACACAUGCAAGUCGAACGGCAGCACAGUAAGAGCUUGCUCUUACGGGUGGCGAGUGGCGGACGGGUGAGGCAUACAUCGGAAUCUACUUUUUCGUGGGGGAUAACGUAGGGAAACUUACGCUAAUACCGCAUACGACCUACGGGUGAAAGCAGGGGAUCUUCGGACCUUGCGCGAUUGAAUGAGCCGAUGUCGGAUUAGCUAGUUGGCGGUGUAAAGGCCCACCAAGGCGACGAUCCGUAGCUGGUCUGAGAGGAUGAUCAGCCACACUGGAACUGAGACACGGUCCAGACUCCUACGGGAGGCAGCAGUAGGGAAUAUUGGACAAUGGGCGCAAGCCUGAUCCAGCCAUACCGCGUGGGUGAAGAAGGCCUUCGGGUUGUAAAGCCCUUUUGUUGGGAAAGAAAAGCAGCAGGUUAAUACCCCGCUGUUCUGACGGUACCCAAAGAAUAAGCACCGGCUAACUUCGUG
rnacentral:rRNA from 1 species